AUUGAACGCUGGCGGCAUGCCUUACACAUGCAAGUCGAACGGAUUCAAGGGGCUUGCUCCUUGAGUUAGUGGCGAACGGGUGAGUAAUGCAUCGGAACGUACCCAGUUGUGGGGGAUAACGUAGCGAAAGUUUCGCUAAUACCGCAUACGACCUGAGGGUGAAAGCGGGGGAUCGCAAGACCUCGCGCAAUUGGAGCGGCCGAUGUCAGAUUAGCUAGUUGGUAGGGUAAAAGCCUACCAAGGCGACGAUCUGUAGCUGGUCUGAGAGGACGACCAGCCACACUGGGACUAAGACACGGCCAGACUCCUACGGGAGGCAGCAGUGGGGAAUUUUGGACAAUGGGGGAAACCCUGAUCCAGCCAUGCCGCGUGAGUGAAGAAGGCCUUCGGGUUGUAAAGCUCUUUCGGACAGAAAGAAAUCUUUUGGGCUAAUACCCUGAGAGGAUGACGGUACUGUAAGAAGAAGCACCGGCUAACUACGUGCCAGCAGCCGCAGUAA
rnacentral:rRNA from 1 species